GAGGGUAAGGCUCCAAAAAAAAACUUCACUUCACUUCACACUUUCCCAGUUCUCUGAGUCUCUCCCGUUCUCUGCCUCUGCCUGUCGCCGACGCUGCUCACCUUCGACGCCACCGCCGAACGAUGCUCGCCCUCGAUGUUGCCACCGGAUGCCGCUAACCCUCGAUGCCGCCGUCGAACGGCGCUGGACGCCAGUCGCCCUGCACUCACCUCGCCCUUGCCUCCCUCGACGCCGUCACCUCUUGCUCACCUCGCUGCUUAGCCGCCGCCAGACACCGGUCGUCCCGCCGCUGGACGCCAAUCGGCCCGCGCUCGCCCCGCCCUUGCCUCCCUCGACGCCAUCGAGGGAGAGAUGGCUGUGGAGAGCAUAUCUCAAAGGAGGAUUCGGUCUCUGUGUCGUCAUCUUUCACCACAAGCUUAUGAUGCGAGCUCACUUCUUCAACCAGUCAACUGUAGUGAGAGCAAAGCAAUUAAGCCUUCGAGAUGGUAGAGAAGCUGUGGUAAUCGUUGGUAUGGUGUUGGACAUUCAUGCCCUACCUUUUUCUCCUCUUGCUCCCGGAACCACAGCCCCUGGCAAACAAUAUGCUAAGAGCACAGAGAUGCUGCCCUCAUGCAGGAAGUUACGAAGCUUUUGAAGAAGAAUAACUUGUUAUUGCAACCCAGCACGGCCAAUAUUGUCUUCAGCAUUUGUAACGAUAUAGACCAUUGGGGGUUGCUCACAAAGUAAUCAAAGAGAUUUGUCAAGGGUGGCGUGAAAUUGCAUAAAGCUGCAUUUGACAUAUGGAUGGAGUUUGCUGCAAAAGUAGGUGCGAACCACUCACUCUGUCUCCCUUUGCUCCUCUCAAGCCCUUGUCCCUCAGCAAUUUUUGUUUUCCAUUUCUUCCCACAAGUAGUUUUCUCAUCCAAGUCCCGCCACUUACUACAAAAGAUGGGAUGUGCUUGGAUAUAUUCCUCUUUGGCCAUUUUUUCCUUUCUGGAGAUUUAUGUGAUGCUGGACAGGUAUGAGAUCUUCUAGGAAAGUUCCACCAGGUCGUGCCUGACGACGUGGUAGAUAUGUAUGAGUUCUAAUUGUUGAGUGUAUACAUGUUCAAUUUGACUAAGAGAUAGUUUG